GGUCCGACCAACGGGAGAAGAGCGGCCUGUGGUCGGUGGUCGCCGCCGUGUGUGGGCUGGAUGGCCUGCUCUCUUGUGCUCCUCCUAUAUAUCAGAUGUACUUCCUCCGAGGAGCAGGGUUUCGCCCUUUCGCUACCUUUUCGUACUCGCUAGUCGCUACAGCUACAGCUAGUACGUACUAUACUAUACUAAUAAAAGCUACAGUUUCUUCCGGUUCUUGUCCUACCUUUCACGUCAUCUCGAUUACGUGGUGAACUUGUAUGCAGUAUGCUGUAUUUUUUUCAUCGGACAAAAUAUAUCUUUUUUUAUUGAACAUAAACGAGCGGAAAGGUGGUGUUUAUCCCUGUAUAAACAAGCAGUAGUGGUUAGGGCUGGACGAAAAACACGUAGCUCGUUAACUCGCUCGAUUCGAUUUGAUAGUGGUUCGACUCGACUCGUUUAUAAUUUGUAACGAGUUGAGCUUGUAUUAACGAGCCAGAUCGAACUGGCUCACGAGCUGACUCGCGAGCCAAACGAGUUGAAGUAAUUAGUCAAAUCACAAUAAUCUCCGAUCCAAAAUAGUUAAUCUUGUACUCUACUAUAGUUAAUUUUGUUCUUUGUUGAGUGUGAAAUAUUAAGUUGCAAAAUCUAUUCUUUUU
rnacentral:lncRNA from 7 species